rnacentral:rRNA from 1 species
UACGGAGGGUGCGAGCGUUGUCCGGAAUCACUGGGCGUAAAGGGCGCGUAGGCGGCCUGAUAAGUAGGGGGUGAAAUCCUGCGGCUUAACCGCAGGGCUGCCUUCUAAACUGUCAGGCUGGAGCACAGUAGAGGCAGGUGGAAUUCCUGGUGUAGCGGUGGAAUGCGCAGAUAUCAGGAGGAACACCGGUGGAGAAGGCGGGUCUCUGGGCUGUAACUGACGCUGAGGAGCGAAAGCGUGGGGAGUGAACAGG